rnacentral:rRNA from 1 species
GACGAACGCUGGCGGCGCGCUUAACACAUGCAAGUCGAACGGAAAGGCCUGCUUUCCCUUGUGGAUUGCGGGUACUCGAGUGGCGAACGGGUGAGUAACACGUGAGUGAUCUGCCCCCAACUUGGGUAUAAGCCUGGGAAACUGGGUCUAAUUCCCGAUAGGACUGCAGGGUGGUGCCUGUGGUGGAAAACGAUUUUCUAGUGGUUGGGGAUGAGCUCGCGGCCUAUCAGCUUGUUGGUGGGGUAAUGGCCUACCAAGGCGGCGACGGGUAGCCGGCCUGAGAGGGUGGACGGCCACAUUGGGACUGAGAUACGGCCCAGACUCCUACGGGAGGCAGCAGUGGGGAAUAUUGCACAAUGGGCGGAAGCCUGAUGCAGCGACGCCGCGUGGGGGAUGACGGCCUUCGGGUUGUAUACUCCUUUCGACCGCGAGGAAGCCACCUGGUUGGAAGGGUGGUGACGGUAGUGGUAGAAGAAGCACCGGCUAACUACGUG